AUUUAUGGAGAGUUUGAUCCUGGCUCAGGUUGAACGCUGGCAGCAUGCUUAACACAUGCAAGUUGAACGAGAUUGAAGAUUUUUCGCAAGAAAGAACUUUAGUUGCAGUAGCGAACGGGUGAGGAACACGUAAGAAUCUACCUUUUGGAGGGGGAUAACAUUGGGAAACCGCUGCUAAUACCCCAUAAUGCUGAGGAGCUAAAGAUGGAAACAUCACCAAGAGAGGAGCUUGCGUCUGAUUAGCUAGUUGGUGAGGUAACUGCUCACCAAGGCAACGAUCAGUAGCUGGUCUGAGAGGAUGAUCAGCCACACUGGGACUGAGACACGGCCCAGACUCCUACGGGAGGCAGCAGUGAGGAAUUUUCCGCAAUGGGCGAAAGCCUGACGGAGCAAUGCCGCGUGGAGGAAGAAGGUCCGUGGAUUGUAAACUCCUUUUCUCAGGGAAGAAUAAAUGACUGUACCUGAGGAAUAAGCACCGGCCAACUCUGUGCCAGCAGCCGCGGUAAGACAGAGGGUGCAAGCGUUAACCGGAAUGAUUGGGUGUAAAGCGUCUGUAGGUGGUUUCGGAAGUCGAAUGUCAAAUCCCAGGGCUCAACCCUGGACCGGCAUUCGAGAACUCCGAGACUUGAGUAUGGUAGGGGCAAAGGGAAUUCCCUGUUUAGAGGUGAAAUUCAUAGAGAUAGGGAAGAACACCAGUGGCGAAGGCGCUUUGCUGGGCCAAAACUGACACUGAGAGACGAAAGCUAAGGGAGCAAAUAGGAUUAGAUACCCUAGUAGUCUUAGCCGUAAACGAUGGAUACUAGAUGCUGCCAAAAGCGGUGUCGUAGCUAACGCGUUAAGUAUCCCACCUGGGGAGUACGGACGCAAGUCUGAAACUCAAAGGAAUUGACGGGGGCCCGCACAAGCAUGGGAUUAUGGGGUUUAAUUCGAUGCAACGCGAAGAACCUUACCAAGAUUUGACAUGCUGAAAAUCUUUCAGAAAUGGAAGAGUGCCUGAAAAGGAAUUUAGACACAGGUGGUGCAUGGCUGUCGUCAGCUCGUGCCGUAAGGUGUUUGGUUAAGUCCAGCAACGAGCGCAACCCUUGUCUUUAGUUAUUGAAAUAGUUUACUAUUUCCGUCUAAAGAGACUGCCGGUGUAAGCUGGAGGAAGGUGAGGAUGACGUCAAGUCAGCAUGCCCCUUACAUCUUGGGCGACACCCGUAAUACAAUGGUUAGGACAAUCAGAAGCGAUCUCGCGAGAGCUAGCGAAUCUGCUAAACCUUAACCUCAGUUCGGAUUGUAGGCUGCAACUCGCCUGCAUGAAGCCGGAAUUGCUAGUAAUCGCCAGUCAGCCAUAUGGCGGUGAAUACGUUCCCGGGCCUUGUACACACCGCCCGUCACAUAGAGAAAGGAGAUCACUAGCGAAGUGGCCUAGUUUAACCUGCAAAGGAGAACAGCUCCGACCUAGGGGUUUCUAAUUUCUAUGAAGUCGUAACAAGGUAGGGCUACCGGAAGGUGGCCCUGGAUCACCUCCUUC
rnacentral:rRNA from 1 species